CUACGGGAGGCAGCAGUGGGGAAUAUUGGACAAUGGGCGAAAGCCUGAUCCAGCCAUGCCGCGUGUGUGAAGAAGGCCUUUUGGUUGUAAAGCACUUUAAGCGAGGAGGAGGCUACUUAGAUUAAUACUCUAGGAUAGUGGACGUUACUCGCAGAAUAAGCACCGGCUAACUCUGUGCCAGCAGCCGCGGUAAUACAGAGGGUGCGAGCGUUAAUCGGAUUUACUGGGCGUAAAGCGUGCGUAGGCGGCUUUUUAAGUCGGAUGUGAAAUCCCUGAGCUUAACUUAGGAAUUGCAUUCGAUACUGGGAAGCUAGAGUAUGGGAGAGGAUGGUAGAAUUCCAGGUGUAGCGGUGAAAUGCGUAGAGAUCUGGAGGAAUACCGAUGGCGAAGGCAGCCAUCUGGCCUAAUACUGACGCUGAGGUACGAAAGCAUGGGGAGCAAACAGGAUUAGAUACCCUGGUAGUCCAUGCCGUAAACGAUGUCUACUAGCCGUUGGGGCCUUUGAGGCUUUAGUGGCGCAGCUAACGCGAUAAGUAGACCGCCUGGGGAGUACGGUCACAAGACUAAAACUCAAAUGAAUUGACGGGGGCCCGCACAAGCGGUGGAGCAUGUGGUUUAAUUCGAAGCAACGCGCAGAACCUUACCAGCUCUUGACAUUCGGGGUAUGGGCAUUGGAGAUGAUGUCCUUCAGUUAGGCUGGCCCCAGAACAGGUGCUGCGUGGCUGUCGUCAGCUCGUGUCGUGAGAUGUUGGGUUAAGUCCCGCAACGAGCGCAACCCUUUUCCUUACUUGCCAGCAUUUCGGAUGGGAACUUUAAGGAUACUGCCAGUGACAAACUGGAGGAAGGCGGGGACGACGUCAAGUCAUCAUGGCCCUUACGGCCAGGGCUACACACGUGCUACAAUGGUCGGUACAAAGGGUUGCUACACAGCGACGUGAUGCUAAUCUCAAAAAGCCGAUCGUAGUCCGGAUCGCAGUCUGCAACUCGACUGCGUGAAGUCGGAAUCGCUAGUAAUCGCGGAUCAGAAUGCCGCGGUGAAUACGUUCCCGGGCCUUGCACACACCGCCCGUC
rnacentral:rRNA from 1 species